CCUACGGGUGACAGCAGUGAGGAAUAUUGGUCAAUGGACGAGAGUCUGAACCAGCAAAGUAGCGUGAAGGAUGACUGCCCUAUGGGUUGUACACUUCUUUUAUAAGGGACUAAAACGAGACACGUGUGCCUUUUUGCAUGUACUUUAUGCAUAAGUAUCGGCUAACUCCUUGCCAGCAGCCGCGGUAAUACGGAGGAUCCGAGCGUUAUCCGGAUUUAUUGGGUUUAAAGGGAGCGUAGAUGGGUUGUUCAGUCAGUUGUGAAAGUUUGCGGAUCAACCGUAAAAUUGCAACUGAUACUGGCAGUCUUGAGUACAGUUGAGGUAGGCGGAAUUCGUGGUGUAGCGGUGAAAUGCUUAGAUAUCACGAAGAAACCCGAUUGCGAAGGCAGCUUACUAAACUGUGACUGACAUUGAUGCUCGAAAGUGUGGGUAUCAAACAGGAUUAGAUACCCGAGUAGUC
rnacentral:rRNA from 1 species